rnacentral:rRNA from 1 species
CCCUUAGAUGUUCUGGGCCGCACGCGUGCUACACUGAGUGGAUCAGCGGGUCAGGUUGCGCGAAAGCGUUUCCUAAUCUUUAAAUCCGCUCGUGAUGGGGAUUGACGGUUGCAAUUUUCUGUCAUGAACGAGGAAUACCUUGUAAGCGCGGGUCAUCAUCCCGCGCUGAAUACGUCCCUGCCCUUUGUACACACCGCCCGUCGCUCCUACCGAUUGAGUGGUCCGGUGAAGCGUUUGGACUAUGGUUUUCUGACGGUUCGCCAUUGGAUUACCGUGGGAAAUUCGUUAAACCUUAUCAUUUAGAGGUAGGAGAAGUCGUAACA